rnacentral:sRNA from 1 species
GCAGGAAAUCUGGUGCCGAGAGGGAGGAGUCUAGGGAAUAGAGUAAAGCUACAUCUCAAUUCAAUAUCAGGCGGUUAAGUACCCAUAUGGACUCGGUUCCAGCAACCUUGGCCCUUCAAUCUGCAGAGGCGGGAGACCCUUUUGUUGGUUUGAUCUACAAAUCAAAACUCUUCCCAUUUUAAGAAUAUCCCAGGUUAUUAUUCUCUUCAAAUAUCUGAUUAUGGGUCCCUUCAUUUGAUAUAUGGUUCUGCGUCCCAUCCCUCGUAGUAAUACUAACUUCGCCUCUUAGUUUAGUGGGGUCUUGCUUGUCCUCGCCCCGAUCUAACUUCUUCUAAAUAACGGAACGGAAGGGCAUGCUGUUGUUCCGGAUUGCUGGGCUCAAGGGUCUACCUGGGUAAGUCCUCUUUUAUUCUGUGCAACUGGGACGGGAGGAUACGUUCCACCAGAAAGUGCUGGAUAUCUCCGCCCCAGGCCAUCCCCUUCGCAGUUUGCAUAUCCUCGUUCUCUGCCUGCAGUCGAAUGUUAUGUAUUAUACGACCGGAGGAAGGGUGAACUCGUUCAAGUCC